UGGGCGUAUCUGUAUGCUA
rnacentral:miRNA from 1 species